GGAGUGGUGGCUGAGCAGGUAAAGCACAUAUCUUCCAUAUGUGAGACCCUGGAUAUGAACCCAGCUACCACA
rnacentral:tRNA from 1 species